rnacentral:rRNA from 1 species
GUAAUACAUCGGAACGUACCUUAUCGUGGGGGAUAACGCAGCGAAAGCUGUGCUAAUACCGCAUACGCCCUGAGGGGGAAAGCGGGGGAUCGAAAGACCUCGCGCGAUUAGAGCGGCCGAUGCCUGAUUAGCUUGUUGGUGGGGUAAAAGCCCACCAAGGCGACGAUCAGUAGCUGGUCUGAGAGGACGAUCAGCCACACUGGGACUGAGACACGGCCCAGACUCCUACGGGAGGCAGCAGUGGGGAAUUUUGGACAAUGGGGGAAACCCUGAUCCAGCAAUGCCGCGUGAGUGAAGAAGGCCUUCGGGUUGUAAAGCUCUUUUGUCAGGGAAGAAACACCGGCUCUAACACAGUCCGGGAAUGACGGUACCUGAAGAAUAAGCACCGGCUAACUACGUGCCAGCAGCCGCGGUAAUACGUAGGGUGCAAGCGUUAAUCGGAAUUACUGGGCGUAAAGCGUGCGCAGGCGGUUAUACAAGACAGGCGUGAAAUCCCCGGGCUUAACCUGGGAAUGGCGCCUGUGACUGUAUAGCUAGAGUGUGUCAGAGGGGGGUAGAAUUCCACGUGUAGCAGUGAAAUGCGUAGAUAUGUGGA